rnacentral:rRNA from 1 species
UGUUUGGUCACGUCUCCGUGGAAACGCAACUCUUAACGUUGCACGUGCAGUUGGUAAGUCUGAGUAGAGUGCAGUAGGGGAGUAUGUAAAUGAGGAGCAGCGGUGAAAUGCGCAGAUAUCAGGAGGAACACCGCUGGUGAAGGCGGAACUCUGGGGUGUAACUGACACUGAGGAGCGAUAGCAUGGGGAGCGAACAGGAUUAGAUACCCUGGUAGUGCAUACCGUAAAUUUUGGGCACUAGGUGUGGGGGGCAUUACACGCUCUCCGCGCCGUAGCUAUCGCAUUAAGUGCCCCGCCUGGGGAGUACGGUCGCAAGGCUAAAACUCAAAGGAAUUGACGGGGGCCCGCACAAGCGGCGGAGCAUGCGGAUUAAUUCGAUGCAACGCGAAGAACCUUACCAAGGCUUGACAUACACCGGACCGUCCUGGAAACAGGUCCUCUUCUUUGAAGCUGGUGUACAGGUGGUGCAUGGUUGUCGUCAGCUCGUGUCGUGAGAUGUUGGGUUAAGUCCCGCAACGAGCGCAACCCUCGUUCUAUGUUGCCAGCAUGUGAUGGUGGGAACUCAUAGGAGACUGCCGGGGUCAACUCGGAGGAAGGUGGGGAUGACGUCAAAUCAUCAUGCCCUUUAUGUCUUGGGCUUCACGCAUGCUACAAUGGCUGGUACAGAGAGAGGCGAACCCGUGAGGGCAAGCGAAUCCCUUAAAGCCAGUCUCAGUUCGGAUCGUAGUCUGCAAUUCGACUACGUGAAGUCGGAGUCGCUAGUAAUCGCAGAUCAGCAACGCUGCGGUGAAUACGUUCCCGGGCCUUGUACACACCGCCCGUCAAGUCACGAAAGUCGGUAACACCCGAAGCCGGUGGCCUAACCGUAAGGAGG